rnacentral:rRNA from 1 species
GUGGCGCACGGGUGAGUAAUAUAUAGUUAAUGUACCUCAAAGACUGGGAUGGCCACUGGAAACGGUGAUUAAUACUAGAUAUACCUUUAUAACAUAAGUUGUAAAGGGAAACGUUUUUUCGCUUUGAGAUCAGACUAUAUCCCAUCAGUUAGUUGGUAGUGUAAGAGACUACCAAGGCAAUGACGGGUAGCGGGUUUGAGAGGAUGAUCCGCCACACUGGUACUGAGACACGGACCAGACUCCUACGGGAGGCAGCAGUGAGGAAUAUUGCACAAUGGAGGAAACUCUGAUGCAGCAACGCCGCGUGGAGGAUGACGCAUUUCGGUGUGUAAACUCCUUUUAUAUGUCAAGAAAAUGACGGUAGCAUAUGAAUAAGCACCGGCUAACUCCGUGCCAGCAGCCGCGGUAAUACGGAGGGUGCAAGCGUUACUCGGAAUCACUGGGCGUAAAGGACGCGUAGGCGGGUUGUCAAGUCAGGUGUGAAAUCCUACA